GUUAUGAAGCGGAGUUUGUAAAGCCGUUGAAAAAAUCUCGAGUGUCCCAUCUGCUUGCUUGCUCUCAGAGAGCCUCUACAGACUCCGUGCGGUCACCUCAUGUGCAAAAGCUGCGUGGACAAAAUCACAAAAGAUAGAAAGUUUAAAUGUCCACUGGAUAACAAGGUGGAGAAGAGAAGUGAGGCAUUUUUGGAUAAAAUUCAUGAACGUAAAGUUGUUGAUCUUAAAGUGAAGUGCAACAACAAUGGAGAUGGAUGUGCAUGGAUUGGAGAGUUGCAUGAUCUGCAGAUUGUUUCCUAGUUGUAAUGUGGAGAGUUGCUGCUGAGAUACUAACUACUACCGUACGUAUACUGACUGCGUUCAGUUUGUGCAAUGUUCUACUCGAUUGUCAUGUUUUGAAAAGUACAUUCAUUGCCACAUACUCUCGUGAUUGUUCUUCAGCUUGUUCAGCUUCUACAGCACAGCCGAGGAACGCCUAGCUGGCAGGCACACCUGAUCAAACUGAAAUCAAGAACGAUCAGAGCUCAGAGUUAAGCUUAAGGUGCUCCCAAUCACCAGCCAUUGGUCUUGACUAUCAGUCAUCCAUACAUCAAGCACACACAGCAAUAGCAUCUGCAGUGUCAGCACCUCGGCCCAUACCUGAAGAGGACAAACGCAUGCAGUUGCAGUUCAGACAAAAAUAUAUUCACAGCCGAGAAACAAGCAACAUUCAGUCCUGUUGACAGUUUGAGUGACAACAAUGUAGCUACUGUCAUUUCGAUGCCAAAUGGUAUGGAUUAGUUAAUAUUAAUUACUUAGAAUAAAAACUCUAAGAGUGACAUUGAUUGUCAUCCAACUUGUUUUGUUGACUUGAUACAACCGAGUUUAGUGAUUAUAGUUGCAAUGAGUGGCUGAAUUUUGUUCCACAAAUUUAGAUCAAGUUUGUGUAAAUGAAGUUGCUUUAUUGAAGCAUUUGCAUCAGUCUCAUGCAAGCUGGUAUAUAGACUUCAGCACCUGUAUACUAGCUGUGCUCCAACUUGUACUGAGGUUGGAAUAACAUGUAUGAGA